CCGUGGGCGCCGAGCCCCACUUCUUCGACCGCAGCUACCACAAGGGCCUCGCCUGGUACCGACUUUAUUUCCACAAAGUAGGACUGUUUCUUCCCAUUCCAGAAGUAUUAGCGGGCACAGUGUAUCUACAGAGCUGAAUCUGAUUUUCUGUGGACUUUUCUGAGUUCUUGUAAGAGAAGGAAGGUUUCAAGGUAACUAGAAACACAAGUAUUAAAAAAAAA